AAUGUCUUAUCACUCUAAAAUGUCUUAUACACCCGCAUUGACAAUUCCUAGCACUGAGAAAAAGGAGCAAGCUUAAGCUGUUUUCUCUGCUCUUUGAUCCCGUGAAAAAAAAAUGGCUGGAGAUGAAGAAAAGCUUCGAAUAGUGUGAUGUUUCCAUGGCUAGCCUUUGGUCACAUGAUCCCAAACCUUGAGCUGGCCAAACUCAUUGCUCAAAAGGGUCACCACGUGAGUUUCGUAUCCACCCAAGAAACAUAGAGCGUCUUCCAAAACCGUCACUAAACACACUUGAUAUCAAUUUCGUGAACCUUCCACUGCCUAAAGUCCAAAACCUUCCAGAAAACGCAGAAGCCAACACUGACAUCCCCUACGACGUCUUUGAACACCUCAAAGAAGCCUACGACGUUCUCCAAGAACCGCUGAAACGUUUUCUCGAAUCUUCCAAACCCGAUUGAGUCUUCUACGACUUCGCUCCCUUUUGGGUGGGUUCAAUGGCUUCGAAGCUUGGCAUCAAAGCGCUUUUUUCAGCAUUUGCACUCCACCCUUCUCGGGGUUCUUAGCAGGGGAACCCCUGUAGGUGCAACUUGCUUGAUUAAAUCCUUGAGUUUCUCCAUGCCACAUUCCGAAAGAAUGCCAAAUCUUAUUGGAUUAGUUCCAGUAAAUGAGUAACCCAAAAACUCACCUUGACGUGGUAUGUUCCACUUCCCGUUGUAAUACAUAAUUGCAUCAUGAGUAGGAGUGAUGGUUGAUUGAAGCAGGUUGAACAUAGCAUCCGGUGUUCUAAUAAUGGUACAUAAUAAUUCUAUAGGGCCAACACACGAGUAUUGGUCAUUGCACAUUAACAUUGUGUAAACAUCAUCAUCAUUUUUCAAUUGUAAAGAUUGAAAAAAAUAUUGUUGACCUGCAUCUAUGAAUGACUGUCGGUAGUAGAUUUCAUCCAGUAGUUGAUCGUUGGUUAGUUGAAGGGUGUUGUCCAUUCUACGCUUGAGUGUAUCAAAAGAACAGUUGUUAGGAACUCGCAUUGGUGUUGGAAUGAGACUUUGAAAAUAAACACCAGUUUGGUUGUAACUGAUUGAUCCAUUUGGAAGAAUGAAAGCUAAUCUAGAGAUAGUAAUGGUCUGACUGCUUGUUUCUUCCAAAAAUGACAUAGUAAUAAGAUUGAAUUUGGUUUGUGAAAUUAUAUUGUGUGAGAUUGUGUGUUUGUAUUGUGCCUGUGUUGUGUUAUUUAUAGUUGUAUGAGUAUUCUGCCACGUUGAUGUGUAUUGGAAUCCAAUGUUUCUCUUUCCCUAGUAAGUGAUGUAGCAGACGUCCAUUAUAAUUUCAGAGUGAACAAAGAGAUUAUGAGUUGUCCAUCUCAUGUCAGUUUUGCACAUGUCUCUAAAAAUUAAAUGUAUUACCUGUAAAACUGACAUGAAAUGGACAGCUCAUAAUUCAGAGUAUUGUUAAUUUGGACUGUGAUUUUUCCCAUGUAAUUAAAGCAACAGACGUUCAUGAUGAUUUUCAGAGUGAAUAAAGAGAUGAUGAGUUGUCCAUUUCAUGACAGUUUUGUAGGUGAGACAUUUAAUUUUUAGAGACGUGUGCAAAUUGCAGAGUAUUGUCAAUUUGGAUUGUGAUUUUUCCCUUGUAAUUAAAGCAGUAAACGUCCAUAGUUAUUUUCAGAGUGAAUAAAGAGAUUAUGAGUUGUCAAUUUCAUGUCAAUUUUGUCGAUGAGACAUUUAAUUUUUAAAAACAAUGUAGUGUAAAUGACAAAGUAUUGUGAAUUUUGACAGUUAUGUUACCAUGUCAACUACAAUAGUAAAAGUGAGUAAAUUGAAAAUUGCAAAUUUAAAUUUAAAGGAAAAAUUAUUUCAAUACGUAAAGUGAUAACUGAAGACAGACAUAAGACAUUACAUGAAAAUCUCAAAGAAGAAAUAACUUAGACAUGAAUGAUCCGUAGAUUACCAAUCCCGUUUGAAUAUAGGUUCGUGGGAUGGAGACAGGUUAUUUCCUUCAGGCCCGGAAGAGGAGUCCGUAUCACUAUCAUGGUUUUUGAGCCAACAAGUAUCGUAUUCACUUGAUAAGUCCUCAAGAUUAGAGGUUGAGCCAUGUUGGUUGCUUGGUGGGUCAUUAUUGUGAUAGAUUAUGGCAAAUAAUUCCACAAAUGGUAGUGAUGGGUUGUUGUAAAAAAUGUUGAACAUUUGUCGAACAUCAACAUCAUCUCAUAGAAUAAAAGAUGUGUACAUAUAACGUUGUCCUGACUCAAAUAUAGGGCAUUGGAAAUGGAGAUGUUGGAUAUGUUGUUCUGGGUCAA